ACUGUUAUUCCGCCCCUGAUUGCACAUUGAAACACUUGCAGUGCGCAGAAUAUCCACGACAAGUGUCGUGGCAGACGUCUGCUGCAUCAGUUGUUAAAUAGUAUGUAAUAGUAACAUGAAACGUAACAUUUGUAUAAAUGUCUGGUUUUUAUGGAUCUGACAUUGAAACUCUAAAAAAUGUCUAGGAAGCGUGUGAGAGAAGAAAUUAUGUUGAAUUCUACACCAUAUUCAGAUAUUCAGAAUGGGGAAGAUGCAUCAUGCUCGAAAGAAGAUUCUCCCAUUUGUCCUCUGGUGACAAUGACUUGGGGGACCAACAGGAAUUCAAAUAAUGAAUCAAGUCAAAUUUCACUAAAAAAGUGUAAUAGUGAAAUUUUUGUUAACCACAAAGAACUUCCAUCAAUCUGUAAUGAAGCUCCUUUCAGUGAUGAUCCAGAAGCACUAGCUGAAAGAAAUGCAUGUGAUUAUAAUAUACGCAUUACAUUGAAAAUGGCAAAAAAUGGCAAAGCACCAAGGAGAAUCAGGGUAUAUGCAGAUGGUAUUUAUGAUCUAUUUCAUCAAGGACACGCGCGGCAACUUUUACAAGCAAAAAAUAUUUUCCCUAAUGUAUACCUUAUUGUUGGAGUUUGUAAUGAUGAACUAACACACAGUAAAAAAGGCAGAACAGUCAUGACAGAUACUGAAAGAUACGAUGCAGUAAGGCAUUGUCGUUAUGUAGAUGAAGUAGUUAGGGAUGCACCUUGGGAAUUGGAUGAUGAGUUUCUUACAAAACAUAAGAUUGACUUUGUUGCUCAUGAUGAUAUACCCUAUAUGACAGAUGACAGCACAGACGUUUAUGCAAGUUUGAAAGCUAAGGGUAUGUUUGUAGCUACUCAAAGGACAGAAGGAGUGUCAACAUCAGAUAUUGUAGCAAGAAUAGUCAAAGAUUAUGAUAUGUAUGUAAGAAGAAAUCUUGCACGAGGUUACAGUGCCAAAGAGCUCAAUGUUUCUUUUCUCAGUGAAAAGAAAUUCCGUUUACAAAAUAAAUUUGAUGAUUUGAAAGAUAAGGGUAAACGAGUUAUGGAGAACAUUGGUGAAAAACGUAUGGACAUAAUUAGUAAAUGGGAAGAAAAAUCUCGAGACUUUAUAGAUGCUUUUCUUCUACUGUUUGGAAGAGAAGGCAGAUUGUCGACAAUUUGGAAUGAAAGUAAAGGUCGUUUAAUGCAAGCACUAUCUCCUCCAGCAAGUCCCAAAAGAGAUGGCAGUCCAAAUGGGAGUAAUAGCAGCAAUAAUGAUGAAGAUCAGACAAGGUACAUCACAGCAUUUGAGUCCAUUGACUAACAUGCAACACCACUUCAUUCUGUACUGCUUCUAUAUGAAAACCUUCAAUACUUCACACCACCCAUUUGCAGCAUGUUAUUCCACCACCGCAAAAGACUGGUCGUUAUGAAUGUUCACGGAAUAAUUAUUAUUUGAGUGAUGACUAUAGCGAUGACGAAGAGGAAAACUUACACUCUAAAUGAUAACCCGUGUUGUCACAAUCGUAUUCUUCAUUCUGACCAAAAAUGUCGUGCAAUCUCUUUAAAAAUGUUUAAAGAUAUUUUCAUACAGCUAUGUGAUUUGCUGAUAUGGAUUUUAAUGCUGUGCUUGAUAGUCUUUCUAUGGUAUGAUUUCAUACUAUAUACAAUAUAAAAUUAUUAUCUGUUAUGGCAUAGAAAUUGAAUCCGAUUAUGGAUUAUUAUAUACAAAUUAAUAUACGUAUUAUGCAUGAAUUACAUACAGAAAUCACAUAGAUUAUUUAAAACAUCAUCUGCAACUAUUCUGGGGAGUUUCUUCAUUAUCAUUAUUUGCAUUCUUAAUAAUAAGUUCCUAUGUUUUGAAAGAUACUUCAUUAUUCAAUUUCGAUUUCAUACUUCAUUACAUGAAUUUACAAUAGUCUGGAGGUACUUUUUCAUACUUUAUACAGAAAAAUUUGUUUCGUAUGUUCAUUUGAUGAUUUUCAAUAAUAAUAAUCAAUUAUUUUAUUCCUAAUUUUAUAUAACAUUUUUUACAAGUUACCUCAUAAAUAAUCGUUUAAAUGUUACAUAUAUAUAGAUAUAUUGCAAGCAAUAUUUUUUGUUGCAGUAAGUAUUAAGUUAUGUUAUAACUUAUUACUGAUGUAAUCAAUGGUACCAAAAUGUAAAGUAGCGAAAAAUUCGUCGAAUAUUAUAUAAAUUUUAUUUAAACGUACCAAGGAGAUUACAAAAGUGAAUAGCACAGAACAAAUUUAAAUGUAUUAUUUUACAGAUGAUUAGCUUAGUUAUGCAUUAUUUAUUUUAAAAAACAAAUUCACUCGUUUUUAGCAUUCAGUGUUAUCUUUUGAGAAAAUAAUUAUUCGAGCAGCAAAUUAAUAAUAACUUAUUUUUAUCAUUAGAUAAUUUUGUGUAGGAAGAUAUUAAUAGAAUUCGAUUGAUAAAAAUUAAUCAAAAUCAAUUAAAUAAGCAUUAUAAGAUGAUAUCAAUAUAGAAAUCGUGUUUUAAAUAUGGUGCUUUUAUUUAAAAAAUAUGCAGAUAUGAUAACCCUGAAAUGGUACAACCAUUUUUGUACUUUUAAAUCAUAACAUAGUUUUAUAAUAGCAUAUUUAUCAAGUAUGUGAAUGAAAUAUUUUUUAAUACAUAGGUAAAUGUAUAAUAAAGAUUAUUUAUUCUUAUGUUCAAUAUGUAGUAUCCAAAAUAAUGUAAUUUUUCACAUAAAUUGUCUAUUCCGUUUAUAGUUCUAAGGCUAAGGCUAAAAUUAGGAGAAUUUUAGAUUUAAAUCCAAAAAUGAAACUAAUAUGAAAGACCUGUAAAAAAUGUGUAUAGAUUUAUAUACAUUAAUAUGCUUUUGUUUCUUAAAAACGUACCGAUGGUGCCUGAGUUUGAGAUUUAUUUAAAUACAUCACAAAAUGGUAUAUUUCUUUAAAGCAUGCAAAAUUUUAAAUACAUUAAUAUUUGCUUCUUAAAAAAAGCUGGCACAUAACUUAAUAGCAUAUAAUAAUACAUCGUGUAUAUUUGAUGAUUAGACAGAAAGUUGUUCUGUAAUUAACAAUCUCAAAUAAUAUAAAAUUAUGUUCU